GAUGAACGCUAGCGGCAGGCCUAAUACAUGCAAGUCGAACGGGGUCUUCGGACAUAGUGGCGCACGGGUGCGUAACACGUAUGCAACCUACCUUACAUUGGGGGAUAGCCUUUCGAAAGGGAGAUUAAUACCGCAUAAGACAGUAGCUGGGCAUCCAGCAGCUGUUCAAGAUUUAUCGAUGUAAGCUGGGCAUGCGUCCAAUUAGCUAGUUGGUGAGGUAACGGCUCACCAAGGCAAUGAUUGGUAGGGGAACUGAGAGGUCAAUCCCCCACCCUGGCACUGAGAUACGGGCCAGACUCCUACGGGAGGCAGCAGUAGGGAAUAUUGGGCAAUGGACGCAAGUCUGACCCAGCCAUGCCGCGUGCAGGAUGAAGGCGUUAUGCGUUGUAAACUGCUUUUAUACAGGAAGAAACGACUCUUGCGAGAGGCAUUGACGGUACUGUAUGAAUAAGCACCGGCUAACUCCGUGCCAGCAGCCGCCGUAAAAC
rnacentral:rRNA from 1 species